rnacentral:rRNA from 1 species
AUUGAACGCUGGCGGCAGGCCUAACACAUGCAAGUCGAGCGAGCGGCGGACGGGUGAGUAAUGUAUGGGGACUGCCCGAUAGAGGGGGAUAACUACUGGAAACGGUGGCUAAUACCGCAUACUGUCGGAUAACCCAUAUGGGAUUAGCUAGUAGGUGAGGUAAUGGCUUACCUAGGAGACGAUCCCUAGCUGGUCUGAGAGGAUGGUCAGCCAAAAGUGGACUGAGACACGGGCCAGACUCCUACGGAGGCAGCAGUGGGGAAUAUUGCACAAUGGGCGGCAGCCUGAUGCAGCCAUGCCGCGUGGAUGAAGAAGGCCCUAGGGUUGUAAAGCACUUUAAGCGAGGAGGCGUUACUCGCAGAAUAAGCACCGGCUAACUCUGUGCCAGCAGCCGCGGUAAUAC